CCUGGUUGAUUCUGCCAGUAGUCAUAUGCUUGUCUCAAAGAUUAAGCCAUGCAUGUCUAAGUAUAAGCAACUAUACUGUGAAACUGCGAAUGGCUCAUUAAAUCAGUUAUCGUUUAUUUGAUAGUACCUUACUACAUGGAUAACCGUGGUAAUUCUAGAGCUAAUACAUGCUAAAAACCUCGACUUCGGAAGGGGUGUGUUUAUUAGAUAAAAAACCAAUGCCCUUCGGGGCUCCCUGGUGAUUCAUAAUAACCUAACGAAUCGCAUGGCCUUGUGCCGGCGAUGGUUCAUUCAAAUUUCUGCCCUAUCAACUUUCGAUGGUAGGAUAGUGGCCUACCAUGGUUUCAACGGGUAACGGGGAAUUAGGGUUCUAUUCCGGAGAAGGAGCCUGAGAAACGGCUACUACAUCCAAGGAAGGCAGCAGGCGCGCAAAUUACCCAAUCCCGACACGGGGAGGUAGUGACAAUAAAUACUGAUACAGGGCUCUUUUGAGUCUUGUAAUUGGAAUGAGUACAAUUUAAAUCCCUUAACGAGGAACAAUUGGAGGGCAAGUCUGGUGCCAGCAGCCGCGGUAAUUCCAGCUCCAAUAGCGUAUAUUAAAGUUGUUGCAGUUAAAAAGCUCGUAGUUGAACCUUGGGCCUGGCUGACCGGUCCGCCUCACCGCGUGCACUGGUUCGGCCGGGCCUUUCCUUCUGGGGAGCCGCAUGCCCUUCACUGGGUGUGUCGGGGAACCAGGACUUUUACUUUGAAAAAAUUAGAGUGUUCAAAGCAGGCCUAUGCUCGAAUACAUUAGCAUGGAAUAAUAGAAUAGGACGUGUGGUUCUAUUUUGUUGGUUUCUAGGACCGCCGUAAUGAUUAAUAGGGAUAGUCGGGGGCAUCAGUAUUCAAUUGUCAGAGGUGAAAUUCUUGGAUUUAUUGAAGACUAACUACUGCGAAAGCAUUUGCCAAGGAUGUUUUCAUUAAUCAGUGAACGAAAGUUAGGGGAUCGAAGACGAUCAGAUACCGUCGUAGUCUUAACCAUAAACUAUGCCGACUAGGGAUCGGGCGAUGUUAUCUUUUUGACUCGCUCGGCACCUCACGAGAAAUCAAAGUUUUUGGGUUCUGGGGGGAGUAUGGUCGCAAGGCUGAAACUUAAAGAAAUUGACGGAAAGGCACCACCAGGCGUGGAGCCUGCGGCUUAAUUUGACUCAACACGGGGAAACUCACCAGGUUAACCACGGUUGUUACGACCUCUGGGCCUGGAAAAGAAGGGGGGUGGCCCACCUCUCUCUAGUGCUUGUCUUUGUCUGUGUGGGGAAGUCCCCUAUUUUGGGCACAGACGCUCCGUAGCGGGAGCGUGACAGGUGCAACACCAGCUGGAACAGAAGACGCCUCCGUUAC
rnacentral:rRNA from 1 species